rnacentral:rRNA from 1 species
GGGCCCGCACAAGCGGUGGAGCAUGUGGUUUAAUUCGAUGAUACGCGAGGAACCUUACCAGGUCUUAAAUGCAUAACGAACGAUUGGGAAACCAAUCUUUCUUCGGACGGAAUGCAAGGUGCUGCAUGGUUGUCGUCAGCUCGUGCCGUGAGGUGUCAGGUUAAGUCCUAUAACGAGCGCAACCCCUAUUCUUAGUUGCCAGCGGUUCGGCCGGGGACUCUAAGAAAACUGCCAGUGCAAGCUGUGAGGAAGGUGGGGAUGACGUCAAAUCAUCACGGCCCUUACGACCUGGGCCACACACGUGCUACAAUGGUAGGUACAAAGGGCAGCCACUUGGCGACAAGGAGCUAAAUCUCUAAAAACCUAUCUCAGUUCGGAUUGGAGUCUGAAACUCGACUCUAUGAAGCUGGAAUCGCUAGUAA